GAUUAUGGCUCAGGAUGAACGCUGGCGGCGUGCCUAACACAUGCAAGUCGAACGGAAAGAAACAGCUUGCUGUUCUUUAGUGGCGGACGGGUGAGUAAUGUGUGAGCAACCUGCCUAUCAGAGGGGAAUAACAAAGGGAAACCUUUGCUAAUACCGCAUGAAGUACUAAUGUCGCAUGACAUAAGUAUCAAAGGAGAAAUCCGCUGAUAGAUGGGCUCACAUCUGAUUAGAUAGUUGGUGAGGUAACGGCUCACCAAGUCAACGAUCAGUAGCCGGACUGAGAGGUUGAACGGCCACAUUGGAACUGAGAAACGGUCCAGACUCCUACGGGAGGCAGCAGUGGGGAAUAUUGGGCAAUGGGGCCGCAAGCCUGACCCAGCAACGCCGCGUGAAGGAAGAAGGUCUUCGGAUUGUAAACUUUUGUCUUAUGGGAAGAAACAAGACGGUACCAUAGGAGGAAGCCACGACUAACUACGUGCCAGCCGCCGC
rnacentral:rRNA from 1 species